rnacentral:misc_RNA from 1 species
GAUGAAGAACGCAGCGAAAUGCGAUAAGUAAUGUGAAUUGCAGAAUUCAGUGAAUCAUCGAAUCUUUGAACGCACAUUGCGCCCGCCAGUAUUCUGGCGGGCAUGCCUGUCCGAGCGUCAUUUCAACCCUCGAACCCCUCCGGGGGGUCGGCGUUGGGGAUCGGUCCCUCACCGGGCCGCCCCCGAAAUCCAGUGGCGGUCUCGCCGCAGCCUCUCCUGCGCAGUAGUUUGCACACUCGCACCGGGAGCGCGGCGCGGCCACAGCCGUAAAACACCCCAAACUCUGAAAUGUUGACCUCGGAUCAGGUAGGAAUACCCGCUGAACUUAAGCAUAUCAAUAAGCGGAGGA